CACGCUGUAAACGUUGUAUACUAGGUGUUAGCGGCUUGUCCGCUAGUGCCGAAGCAAACGCAUUAAGUAUACCGCCUGGGGAGUACGCCCGCAAGGGUGAAACUCAAAGAAAUUGACGGGGGCCCGCACAAGCGGUGGAGCAUGUGGUUUAAUUCGAUGAUACGCGAAAAACCUUACCUGGGCUUGAACUGUACAUGACCGGCGUAGAGAUACGCUUUUCCUUCGGGACAUGUAUAGAGGUGC
rnacentral:rRNA from 1 species